rnacentral:rRNA from 1 species
UACGUAGGGGGCAAGCGUUGUCCGGAUUUAUUGGGCGUAAAGAGCGUGUAGGCGGCUAUUUAAGUCUGGUGUUUAAACCUUGGGCUCAACCUGAGGUCGCACUGGAAACUGGGUGGCUUGAGUACAGAAGAGGAAAGUGGAAUUCCACGUGUAGCGGUGAAAUGCGUAGAUAUGUGGAGGAACACCAGUGGCGAAGGCGGCAUCCUGGACCGGUAUUGACGCUGAGGCGCGAAAGCUAGGGGAGCAAACGGG